GCGAACAGGAUUAGAUACCCUGGUAGUCCACGCCGUAAACGGUGGAUGCUGGAUGUGGGGACCAUUCCACGGUCUCCGUGUCGGAGCCAACGCGUUAAGCAUCCCGCCUGGGGAGUACGGCCGCAAGGCUAAAACUCAAAGAAAUUGACGGGGGCCCGCACAAGCGGCGGAGCAUGCGGAUUAAUUCGAUGCAACGCGAAGAACCUUACCUGGGCUUGACAUGUUCCCGACAGCCCCAGAGAUGGGGCCUCCCUUCGGGGCGGGUUCACAGGUGGUGCAUGGUCGUCGUCAGCUCGUGUCGUGAGAUGUUGGGUUAAGUCCCGCAACGAGCGCAACCCUCGCCCUGUGUUGCCAGCACGUCGUGGUGGGAACUCACGGGGGACCGCCGGGGUCAACUCGGAGGAAGGUGGGGAUGACGUCAGAUCAUCAUGCCCCUUACGUCCAGGGCUUCACGCAUGCUACAAUGGCCGGUACAACGGGAUGCGACGCGGCGACGCGGAGCGGAUCCCUGAAAACCGGUCUCAGUUCGGAUCGCAGUCUGCAACUCGACUGCGUGAAGGCGGAGUCGCUAGUAAUCGCGAAUCAGCAACGUCGCGGUGAAUGCGUUCCCGGGCCUUGUACACACCGCCCGUCAAGUCAUGAAAGUGGGCAGCACCCGAAGCCGGUGGCCUAACCCCUUGUGGGAUGGAGCCGUCUAAGGUGAGGCUCGUGAUUGGGACUAAGUCGUAACAAGGUAGCCGUACCGGAAGGUGCGGCUG
rnacentral:rRNA from 1 species